rnacentral:lncRNA from 1 species
AUCCACAGCGUUACUGCUCUAGGUGAAAGUCACUCCAAGAAGUCGUUAAUAGGCAAGCUUUGAUGUGAAGAUACAAUUAAACAAACGGCCAAUCAACUUCAGGCCAAAAGCAAAAGUGAGUGGGGGUGUGGCCUUAGGGCUGAGUGACUCAAGGUCCCCCUGGGGUCAGAGCUGCCCCAGUUAGGGGGCCGACCACCCGGACAGGGCGUCCUCCGGGGACUCGCGGAGCGCGGAGAAAGUUACAAGGGAGCUGGGGACCAAGUGCCUGAAGGGUGAGGACCUGUCCGCGUGUAAGCUGUUCACACCUCCGCUUCCCUAAAGCUGUCCCCACCCCACGGUUUAAAUCCGGUUCGGGCGAGAGGGAGAAGGGUAGGGAGAAGUCGGAGCCCGCCGUGAAGUGAUGGGUAUUUCCUGGUUGGCAAGCGCCUGGAUCACCACGCAUCCAUCUUCCGCCGUGUAGUGCCCCACAGCGUCCGGUUUCCCCGGUCCAGAGCCCGCUACGGGCCGACCCCAGGGCACCAGCCCCGAGAGGCGGAGCCGGGGAGCAAGGCCCAGGCAGCCCCGAGUGCUCGGAAAUGCCUCCUCCCAGCUCCCGCGGAUCCGGCCCCGCCAUGCCCGACCGGAAGGAGCGCUCGGGCGGCCGC